rnacentral:rRNA from 1 species
GAGGUCAGGCAAGACCCCCCCCUUAAAAAUA